GUUCCGGCAAACGUAUGGAUGUCCUCACCCGCGGCGUUCUUCUCGCGAUUAUCCCCUAACUCCUCGUCUGUCACAGGCAAGAGUCGUACCCUCAUUACAAGCAAUGCAUGCCUCUCGUAUAGAAUAUGAGAAUAUUCUGUCAAGAUGGGUGAUGGAAUGCUGUCCUUGUCAUGGAAUAACCACAAAGCUACAUUCUGCCACAUUCUCUCUACACUCAGAGAAAAGGAGAGAUAUACAGACGUGACCCUGGCAUGUGAAGGAAAAUUCUACCCUGUUCACAAACUGGUGCUGUCAACAUGUAGUGAUUAUUUUGGGAAAAUAUGUUUGAACACACACCGUGUAAGCAUCCAAUAAUAGUGUUGAAAGACGUUAAACCAGAUGAGCUAGAAGCUCUUCUUAGUUAUAUGUAUGCAGGUGUUGUGAAUGUCGCACAAAAUGACCUGGCAAGAUUAAUCAAGGGGCAGCGAGCUCCUCAGUUUAA